rnacentral:rRNA from 1 species
ACGGAAGGCAGCAGUGGGGAAUAUUGCACAAUGGGCGAAAGCCUGAUGCAGCGACGCCGCGUGAACGAAGAAGUAUUUCGGUAUGUAAAGUUCUAUCAGCAGGGAAGAUAAUGACGGUACCUGACUAAGAAGCACCGGCUAAAUACGUGCCAGCAGCCGCGGUAAUACGUAGGGAGCAAGCGUUAUCCGGAUUUACUGGGUGUAAAGGGCGUGUAGGCGGGACAGCAAGUCAGAUGUGAAAGCACGAGGCUCAACUUCGUGUCUGCAUUUGAAACUGCUGUUCUUGAGUGCUGGAGAGGCUAACGGAACUCCUAGUGUAGCGGUGAAAUGCGUAGAUAUUAGGAAGAACACCAGUGGCGAAGGCGGUUAGCUGGACAGUAACUGUCGCUGAGGCGCGAAAGCGUGGGUAGCAAACAGGAUUAGAUACCCUGGUA